GUGCUCACUUCGGCAGCACAUACACUAAAAUUGUAACAAUACAGAGAAGAUUAGCAUGGCCCCUGAGCAAGUCUGACAUGCGAAUACAUGCAUGCACAGCCUUCUUAA
ensembl:snRNA U6 U6 spliceosomal RNA